rnacentral:rRNA from 1 species
UACGAAGGGGCUAGCGUUGUUCGGAUUUACUGGGCGUAAAGCGCACGUAGGCGGAUCUUUAAGUCAGAGGUGAAAUCCCAAGGCUCAACCUUGGAACUGCCUUUGAUACUGGGGAUCUUGAGUCCGGGAGAGGUGAGUGGAACUGCGAGUGUAGAGGUGAAAUUCGUAGAUAUUCGCAAGAACACCAGUGGCGAAGGCGGCUCACUGGCCCGGUACUGACGCUGAGGUGCGAAAGCUAGGGGAGCAAACAGG